rnacentral:rRNA from 1 species
GACGGAGGAUGCAAGCGUUAUCCGGAAUGAUUGGGCGUAAAGCGUCCGCAGGUGGCAGUUCAAGUCUGCUGUCAAAGACCGGGGCUUAGCUUCGGAAAGGCAGUGGAAACUGAACAGCUAGAGUAUGGUAGGGGCAGAGGGAAUUCCUGGUGUAGCGGUGAAAUGCGUAGAUAUCAGGAAGAACAUCGGUGGCGAAGGCGCUCUGCUGGACCAUAACUGACACUCAGGGACGAAAGCUAGGGGAGCGAAUGGG